rnacentral:lncRNA from 1 species
UUCAAAUUUGGCAGUCUAGAGAAAUUCAAUAAUUUUCUGGUGUCUCCAUCAGAGAUUUCUGAGCAGUUUAAAAUCCACAUCCUCCAGAGGUGGCAGUGAGCUGUGGGGAGAUCAGCCAGCCCUCAAAUCUCCCAGGAAUGCCAGGGAAGCUAACAGAAGAGCUGAGAGCUCUCCCCUGAGCCUGAGACUCGAGACAGACCAUGGGUCCACCUGGAAAAGGGCUGCACCUUGUUCUUGGGACCUGUCACCCCACACAGAAACUGAUAUAUAACUGACAAACUGCUGCCCAAACAGGGACCUGAGAAUGAAAGUAGUCUUCAAGACUUCAGAAAGGGAAUUCAGUGCUCAGCAGACUGGAGAAGAGUCCUUGGGUAGGUAAGCCCUACCUCCAGGAUUGUUUCAUCAGGGUUACAAUGGGAAACUCUCCAAUAUAUUCAGGUUCUAAAAACUCUGUUGAAGAGCUCGGGGGUAAAAGUGAAACCACAGUCUUUUAUAGAAUUGUUUGCUUUGAUAUGAAAACAUUGUUCCUGGUUUGAAC